UCAAAAGGAUGGGGACUCAAGGGAUGAAGAGUGGGGAACUGGUGGAAGCAGUGGUGGUGGGAACAAUGAUAAUAAGGAUUAUGAUGGCCCAGCCGGUAUGGAUGUUGAUGGAAUCAUCGAGUCCACAUGGACAGAGGUUGCUACAAGCUUUGAUGACAUGAACCUCAAUGAAUCCCUACUUAGAGGUAUCUAUGCCUAUGGUUUUGAGAAACCUUCAGCCAUCCAGCAACGUGCCAUUAUGCCUUGUAUCAAGGGCCACGAUGCCAUUGCCCAGGCUCAGUCUGGUACUGGCAAAACUGCUACUUUCUCCAUUGCAAUCCUUCAGAGGAUUGACUCCAAAUCCCAAGAAACCCAGGCUCUCAUCCUGGCCCCUACCCGAGAAUUGGCCCAGCAGAUUCAGAAGGUGGUGCUUGCUCUUGGCGACUACAUGAAUGUAUCUUGCCAUGCCUGUAUUGGUGGCACAAAUCUCCGUGAGGACAUGCGUCGCCUUGAGAUGGGUGUACAGAUCAUUGUAGGUACCCCUGGCCGAGUGUAUGACAUGAUCAAUCGCCGAGUCUUAGAGCCGAAGGACAUCAAGAUGUUCGUUCUUGAUGAGGCUGAUGAGAUGUUGUCACGUGGUUUCAAGGACCAGAUCUACGAUGUCUUCCGGUUCCUCCCCCACGAUGUGCAGGUUGUGUUGCUCUCUGCUACCAUGCCUGCUGAUGUCAUGGAUGUAACCACCAAGUUCAUGCGAAAGCCAAUCACCAUCUUGGUCAGAAGGAGGAGCUGACCCUUGAAGGUAUCAAGCAGUUCUAUGUGAAUGUUGAGAAGGAAGACUGGAAGUUAGAGACCCUGUGUGAUCUGUACGAAACUCUCACCAUCACCCAAGCUGUUAUCUUCUGUAACACCGAAGGAAGGUGGAUUGGCUUACCGACAAAAUGCACCAGCGUGACUUCACAGUGUCUGCUAUGCACGGUGACAUGGACCAGAAGGAGCGUGACGUCAUCAUGCGCGAGUUCCGCUCUGGAUCAUCCCGUGUUCUGAUCACAACUGACUUAUUGGCCCGUGGUAUCGAUGUACAGCAGGUGUCCCUUGUCAUUAACUAUGACCUUCCUACAAACAGGGAAAACUACAUUCAUAGGUAAGUUCAGUGGAAGCCUCUUCUUAGGC